CCUACGGGGGGCUGCAGUGGGGAAUAUUGCACAAUGGGGGAAACCCUGAUGCAGCGACGCCGCGUGAGUGAAGAAGUAAUUCGUUAUGUAAAGCUCUAUCAGCAGGGAAGAAAAUGACGGUACCUGAGUAAGAAGCCCCGGCUAACUACGUGCCAGCAGCCGCGGUAAUACGUAGGGGGCAAGCGUUAACCGGAUUUACUGGGUGGAAAGGGAGCGGAGACGGCAGUGCAAGUCUGGAGUGAAAGGCGGGGGCUCAACCCCCGGACUGCUCUGGAAACUGUACGGCUGGAGUGCAGGAGAGGUAAGUGGAAUUCCUAGUGUAGCGGUGAAAUGCGUAGAUAUUAGGAGGAACACCAGUGGCGAAGGCGGCUUACUGGACUGUAACUGACGUUGAGGCUCGAAAGCGUGGGGAGCAAACAGGAUUAGAUACCCUUGUAGUC
rnacentral:rRNA from 1 species